CUUUGGAGGCAGUCUACAGUUUUGUAGCCCUAUUUGCGCAUUGGCCCCGGUCAAUUUCCUGAACAUAAGGCGUAUGACCUAAACAAAAUUGUUUUUUGACUCCAGGAGCUUAAAUGUUGGGACUGAAGGCCUUGUUUUGAGGGUGUUUUGCAGACCAGUGGUUGUCGGCCUGGUGAUUUUCAAGAAAAACUUUAGACUGCCCCCUUAAGGUUGGGACUGAAGGCCUUGUUUUGAGGGUGUUUUGCAGACCAGUGGUUGUCGGCCUGGUGAUUUUCAAGAAAAACUGUAGACUGCCCCCUUUA